UACAGAGGUCUCAAGCGUUGUUCGGAUUCAUUGGGCGUGAAGGGUGCGUAGGUGGCGCGCUAAGUCGGGUGUGAAAUUUCGGAGCUUAACUCCGAAACUGCAUUUGAUACUGGCGUGCUUGAGGACUGGAGAGGAGACUGGAAUUCAUGGUGUAGCAGUGAAAUGCGUAGAGAUCAUGAGGAAGACCAGUGGCGAAGGCGGGUCUCUGGACAGUUCCUGACACUGAGACACGAAGGCCAGGGGAGCAAACGGG
rnacentral:rRNA from 1 species